UUUUAACCUUUUUUUCCUUUGUUUUUUCUCAUUCCUCGCCACCCCUAUUUCUUCUCUCUUUUCCUCUUACAAAUUCCAUAUAUUAUCUUUUCUCUUUAUAUACACUCUUUGUCACCAUCUGGGUUCUUAUUCUUUUUUCGUUGGGUUUUGGUGAUGAUGAUGACGAUGGCGGUGAAAGAUGAGUGGAUUCGGGCGGCGAUGAAGGACGACAACGUGGUGGUUGAAUUACUGGUAAGGCUCAAACAAGCGCAGGCUGCGCCACCGGCUCCGAAAUCUGCGGUGGUUGCACUCAAAUGGGGGAUACGUCAGCCGAGGUCUAAGGCUAUGUCGAUGCGAUGCGAAGCCAAGAGACACGGAGAUUUCAACGUCAGAGCUAGACGUAGCCCCACAACGCCUCUUUCUUGGAGCGGCGGCGGCGACGGUGCUGCCUCUCCUUACGCCGCCUAUGGCUUUGAAGAGACCAGUAAACGAGUCUCUCGCUCUCCGCCUACUGUACCUUCCAGAUCCAAGGGUACCGCUGGCAAUGAAACCACUGGCACAACUACCAAGAGAUCGAGAAGGAAGAAGACAUUUGCCGAACUCAAGGAAGAGGAGAGCUUACUUUUGAAGGAAAGGGUUCAUUUGGAAAAGGAGAUGGCAUCUAUGCGUGCUACAUUUACAGAACAGAGAGCCAGGAAUGAGAACUUGAAAAGAAUCAAGCUUGAUUUGAACUUGCAAAUUGCAAAGAAUGAAGCUGAGGAAGUACCUUCCUGUUUACCCCGUCAGAGAGUCCCCUCGACUCCCUCACAUGCCCUUGAUGAUAGUAAAGCACUGUUAGAUUCUUGCGAUGUAGGGAAAGCUGUACUGCCUGAUCUAAAUAUUAUGCCCGUUGAAGAUGAUUCCGUCAUCGAUACUUUAUAUGGCACCACCUGAAAAAGAUGAUUCGACUACUUUAAACCCCCCCCCCUCUAGCAGCAAAAGGUUGUGAGAAUCUGGUGGGGGACACUGGCCUAGGCAAUGAUCCAUGUGCUGACUGAUUUAACUAUACGACAAGCAACAAAUAUCACAGUUUGAGCUUGCUUCCCUUGAAAAGGCAGAAGAAGCUGACCGGCCAAAGAAAAAGAAAAGAUAUGCAGAGUAUUGCAGAAAUCCAAGCCUGUGUUGAUGGCAAAGAUUCUUGCCAUGGUGCCGGCCUCCUGCAUUCCUCUGACAUUCGUUGGGGUGUAGUUCUUGUUUUAUUCAGUAUUCCACCCUUAGAAACUUACGGAUGGGCUGAUAGCGAAUAGCUUUAAUGGACGAACAAUCAAUCUGAACGAUGGAUCACGAGAGAAUGACAAGUCGACCAAUAUAAUUAUGUUUUAGACCCAUCAGACGAUUGACGAUGGAGACCAGAUGAUGAGGAAGUAGAAUCCAUCAGCGAUUUAAGAGAUCGAAGCAUUUUUUUUGUGAAACGAAGGUUGAAAUCUUGUUUAGGG